rnacentral:rRNA from 1 species
UACGAAGGGUGCAAGCGUUAAUCGGAAUUACUGGGCGUAAAGCGCGCGUAGGUGGUUCAGUAAGUUGGAAGUGAAAUCCCCGGGCUCAACCUGGGAACUGCUUUCAAAACUGCUGAGCUAGAGUACGGUAGAGGGUGGUGGAAUUUCCUGUGUAGCGGUGAAAUGCGUAGAUAUAGGAAGGAACACCAGUGGCGAAGGCGACCACCUGGACUGAUACUGACACUGAGGUGCGAAAGCGUGGGAGCAAACAGG